UAGAGUUUUCUAAACUCCCAACCCAUGUGAACUUACCUUUUGUUGCCUCGGCAGAGGUUACCUGGUACCUGGAGACAGGUUACCCUGUAGCAGCUACCGGUGGACUACUAAACUCUUGUUAUUUUAUGUAAUCUGAGCGUCUUAUUUUAAUAAGUCA
rnacentral:misc_RNA from 1 species